AUAUCCUCAAGCCACAUACUUGGUUCGAAAAAGCGAGCGAUUCUGUCGCCAUGGCGCUAAGCGCCUUAAAGCGAGCACCUCCUCGCAUAGGGACCCCAUUGCCAGGCGAGGAUACACAAAGCGUUCGCUUUGAGGCGCCAUGGCGGUAAGCGCUAAUCUCCCACCUCUUCGCUUCGUCUCGCCACACGC